CUUUUAUUUAUAGCAUUUACACCGAUAACACUGAAGGGUCAUCGUCUGAUAAAUGAAAAAGGAAAGAAAUUUUUUUGUCAAAUGUUAAAAUUAAAAUGUGACCUGAUUGUUUUAGAAACCAACAGCUUAAUAUUCAUCGAUGUGUUGUGUUUCUAUAACAUCCAUUGUGUAAAAUCUUCAUCUUAAAAGAAACAAAAACUGUUAAAUAAAUGUAGUGGAGCAGAAAGCACAUCAUCUCCAUCUGAGAGGCGGUGAGAACUUAAAUGCGCUCAUCCUGUCGGUUCAAGAGGAACACGUGGACAAUAAAACGACACCACGGAGAGAAAAACUACCAGAGACUUUGUUUAUUGUUGCAUAUUUAAACCGUCACCUCACCUGCUGAAAAACACUCCUCCAAAACAAAUCUAGUUUGUCCUCGAAGCAGAAGAUGCAGGAGACAAAAGAAACCACGUUUCACAUCAGACCUCACAUCCCAGCACUGGUUUACUGUGAGGUCUUCACCAAAGUGUCUGUCGGCGAAGACGUCUGCGUUCGAGGACAAACUAGGAUCCAUUCGCUCCGACUACAAAUCCCAUCGGUCACAAUGUUCAGCAUCAUAAAAAAAUAAUUAUACAAGAAUAUCAGACAGACAGACAGCGAGGAGGGGAAACGGAAACUCCCACAGAUAGACGAUAAAACAGGUCAUGAUGUGCAAGACUGCUCUUCAGACUGGAUGCAUCCGUUGCGAGCCGUGAUGUAGAACUGAUGAGUUUGUUGGGCCCCUCUGGGCUCUGCCAUUAUGGUUUUUAUGUUUUUUGGUAAAAUCCUGACAAGAAAUUCAUGAUUUUCAGAUACAAAAACAGUCCUAUAGAGCAGUGAUUUAGCAACCAGCUGUCAAGGUCCAGUUGUGUACAAACUGGUAGACGUCAGUUCACACAAACUACAAAAAAACAACAACAACACAAGUUUGCUUACUCUGAACCAGCCAUGUGGGUAGUUUUCGAUUCAAGUUUUAGAAGAUCUGUUUGGUGAUUUCUGCCAAAUGAGCUCAAUAAAAUGUAGAUAAUUAGUUUUUUUAAAUAUUGAAAAGCUGCGUUUCCAUCGACAGAUCUUUCAGGGAACAUUGUGCUUGUUGUUCGGUUUUCAUGUGGACGGUUUUGUUAGUAGAGAGCAGUUCUGGUGAAUAAACUUGUUAACCUGCAGCAGCCGGCUUAGGAACAGACAAGUUGCUGAUAAAUCUGAACACGUCAGUGCAGUGAGCAGCACAACAGAACCCGUCUGCACAGCUGGGUUCAACAAGAAGCAGCCAAAUCUGUGUGUCUUUAUAGUUUGAGGGAACUGAACUAUUUGAACUAAAAAAAUAAAAACAAAACCACAAAAAAAAAAAAAAA